UACAGAGACUGCAAGCGUUUAUUCGGAUUCACUGGGCGUAAAGGGUGCGCAGGCGGUUGGGUGUGUCAGAUGUGAAAUCCCGAGGCUUAACCUCGGAACUGCGUCUGAAACUACUCGACUAGAGUACUGGAGAGGGAAACGGAAUUCACGGAUGUAGCAGUGAAAUGCGUAGAUAUCGAUGAGGAACACCAGAGGCGAAGGCGGUUUCCUGGACAGUUACUAGACGCUCAGGCACGAAAGCAUGGGGAGCAAA
rnacentral:rRNA from 1 species